GGUCACUUCCUCCUUAGGGGCUGACUACCAGUUAUCAAAGUAUUGAAGUCCAGCCAUCAAAAGCCCCCUAUGACCCCCGUUGAAGGAAUCAGAGAAAGGACUGGAAGAGGUUGAAGGGGCUCAAGACCCCAUAUGAACAACAAUGCCAAGCACCAGGGCUUCCAGGGACUAAGCCACUACCUAAAGACUAUACAUGGACUGACCCUGGACUCCCAACUGCAUAGAAAACAAGUGUGACUAAGAGGGGCUCCCAUGCCUGAGCCUCGGCUUCCAAAGUUCGAGAAUUCCGCCAUGACAGCUUCCUGGCUCCUCAUCAGCUGCGAUAGCCUUGGCAAAUAAAGUCUCCUCCUAGUA